UACGAAGGGGGCUAGCGUUGCUCGGAAUCACUGGGCGUAAAGGGUGCGUAGGCGGGUCUUUUAAGUCAGGGGUGAAAUCCUGGAGCUCAACUCCAGAACUGCCUUUGAUACUGAGGAUCUUGAGUUCGGGAGAGGUGAGUGGAACUGCGAGUGUAGAGGUGAAAAUUCGUAGAUAUUCGCAAGAACACCAGUGGCGAAGGCGGCUCACUGGCCCGAUACUGACGCUGAGGCACGAAAGCGUGGGGAGCAAACAGG
rnacentral:rRNA from 1 species